AUUGAACGCUGGCGGCAUGCCUUACACAUGCAAGUCGAACGGCAGCACGGGUGCUUGCACCUGGUGGCGAGUGGCGAACGGGUGAGUAAUACAUCGGAACAUGUCCUGUAGUGGGGGAUAGCCCGGCGAAAGCCGGAUUAAUACCGCAUACGAUCUACGGAUGAAAGCGGGGGACCUUCGGGCCUCGCGCCCUAGGGUUGGCCGAUGGCUGAUUAGCUAGUUGGUGGGGUAAAGGCCUACCAAGGCGACGAUCAGUAGCUGGUCUGAGAGGACGACCAGCCACACUGGGACUGAGACACGGCCCAGACUCCUACGGGAGGCAGCAGUGGGGAAUUUUGGACAAUGGGCGAAAGCCUGAUCCAGCAAUGCCGCGUGUGUGAAGAAGGCCUUCGGGUUGUAAAGCACUUUUGUCCGGAAAGAAAUCCUUGGCCCUAAUACGGUCGGGGGAUGACGGUACCGGAAGAAUAAGCACCGGCUAACUACGUG
rnacentral:rRNA from 1 species